rnacentral:misc_RNA from 1 species
UUUGUCAGAGAGGAAAUGGAGGGAAAACUUAAUGUUUUGAUUUUAAGGGAAACAUCCGGACGAUUGAAGAAUAUUAGUUAUGCAUCAGCAUUUGGAAAUGAAGAUAGUGGUGAUGAAGAUUUUAGACAGACCAAGGCUCCUCCUUCUAAAAGAUCUAAACCUACUGCUGAAGAGAAAUCUAAAAAAUCUAAUUCACAAUCCAGUUCUUCUGGGGAAGGAAAAUCCAAACAAAAAAGGAAGAAAUUGGAUGACAAACUGUUUGAACGAGAACUUAAGUUGGCAAUGGAGAUGUCUAUGCAGGAAAUUGGUACCGGCUUGAAAGAAGAACCUCAGAACAAGGAUGCUAGCGAUUUUCAAGACACCCCAGUGAAGAAUUCUGCAUCAGAGCGAGUUGAGUCUUUGAAAUUAUCUCGACAUGACAUCCAUUCACCACCAAAAUCUCCUUCCCACGUGGCUCCUCCAUUAUUGCACAAAGAAAUUGAAGAAUGCAUCCCUAAGAAUUCUGUUAAACAAUCUGCCAUGCCUUCUCUUCCUCGUGCCCCAGCUAUGAGGGGUCCAUCUGAUGAAAUAGAAUAUCUAGGUACAGUUACUGAUGAAGAAGAAUCAAAAAACAGUGUCCGGCUUCGGAGAACAUCAGGUCGAACAGCGCGGAAAAAAAUUCAGAUAGAACCAGACUCCAGUGAAGACGAAGCAAAUUCUGAUUUUCAAGAAGAGGAAGAAGAAGAUGAAAGUGAUGAAGAAUUCGAAGAAGACUGUGACUAUGGCAAGAAAUCUACGAAAAGAAAUAAGAAAACAGCAAAAAAUACAAAGACAAAAAAAGAUAUAAAUAGUGUAAAUAAGAAGUCAACAACAGCAAAACGAAAACAAACUGUCAAUAAAUCUCCAUCGUCGUCCAAAAGAGGAAAUCCAGACAAUAGUAAAAGUACACCUUCGGAACCUUCAAGUUCAGUAGAGUCCCAUAAGAGUACGAACACAGAUACGACCAAAGUAGCAACUACAUCUGGGAAAUCUCAACCCUCAGUGCCUUCACUUAUUUCAGUUAAAAAGCCUUUAGUGACACAAUCUCAAAUAUGUAAUUUGAGUCCAUCCUUAUCAUCAAAGUUACCCAUUAAACAACCGAUAUGGAAUCCUCCUGGUAAAGCCACUAGCAGCACUUCCUCUCUGAAAGUCACCUCUCCGUCUGGUGGAAUCCGUAUUGGUCUUUCUCGUAACCAAAAAGUAAAAUCCCUACAUCCAACAGUGAAAGCACAGCAUUGAUGGAAUAUGUACACACAUACACAUGUGUGUGUGAAUAUAUACAUACAUACAUAUGUACACACAAACAUACACACACACACACACACACAUA